rnacentral:rRNA from 1 species
GGAAUUUUCCGCAAUGGGCGAAAGCCUGACGGAGCAACGCCGCGUGAGGGAUGAAGGCCUCUGGGCUGUAAACCUCUUUUAUCAAGGAAGAAGAUCUGACGGUACUUGAUGAAUAAGCCACGGCUAAUUCCGUGCCAGCAGCCGCGGUAAUACGGGAGUGGCAAGCGUUAUCCGGAAUUAUUGGGCGUAAAGCGUCCGCAGGCGGUCUUUUAAGUCUGUCGUCAAAGCGUGAAGCUUAACUCCAUUUCUGCGAUGGAAACUGGGAGACUAGAGUGUGGUAGGGGCAGAGGGAAUUCCCGGUGUAGCGGUGAAAUGCGUAGAUAUCGGGAAGAACACCAGUGGCGAAGGCGCUCUGCUGGGCCAUAACUGACGCUCAUGGACGAAAGCCAGGGGAGCGAAAGGGAUUAGAUACCCCUGUAGUCCUGGCCGUAAACGAUGAACACUAGGUGUCGGGGGAAUCGACCCCCUCGGUGUCGUAGCCAACGCGUUAAGUGUUCCGCCUGGGGAGUACGCACGCAAGUGUGAAACUCAAAGGAAUUGACGG